GGAUGUGAGGGCGAUCUGCCUGUGAAAUCUGUCACCCCAUUGAAGGCCAGGAUUGAUUCGGCUGAUCUGGCUGGAUAGGCGGGUGUCCCCUUCCUCCCUCACCACUCCAUGUGCGUCCCUCCCAAAGUUGCAUGCUCUGUCAAAGAGGAUGACCAUCCCUGAUAGAGGAUGAUGUUCUUCAGUCAAGGGUAUACAAGUAGCUGCACUCCCUUGCUAGAACCUCCAAACAAGCUCUCAAGAUCUUCUUCUUUGCAACCCUGUCACAUCCUAAUACUUCAAUUCAGAAUGUUCAAGUCUUU
rnacentral:snRNA from 1 species